rnacentral:rRNA from 1 species
GGGGGGGGUUAAUGUUGACUAAUUAUUCGCGAAAGACAUGGAGGGCGUCUCGUCGGUCGGAUGUGGAAGCCGGGUCUAACGGGAUGUGAUGCGAUACGGGCAGGCUAAGUUCGGAAGAGAGAUCGGAUUCCUGGUGUGGCGGGGAAAUGGGCAAAUAUCAGGAGGACACCGGUGGCGAAAGCGGAUUGGGGGCCGAUACUGACGCUGAGGAGCGAAAGCGUGGGAACGAAAAGGAUUAAAUACCCGGGUAGUCCACGCCGUAAACGUUGGGGACUAAGUGUGGGCGGCAUUCCACGUCGUCCGUGCCGCAGCUAACGCAUUGAAUGCCCCGCCUGGGGAGUACCGCCGCAAGGCUAAAACUCAGAAGAUUUGACGGGGGCCCGCACAAGCGGCGGAGCUUGUGUCUUAUUUCGACGCAACGCGAAAAAACCUUACCGGGGGUUUGACAUACACCGGAAAUCGGGAGAAGAUGGGCCGCCCCCUUGGGGUCGGUGUACAGGGUGGUGCAUGGUUUGUCGUCAGCUGCUGUCGUGAGAAUGUUGGGGUUAAUUCCCCCCACGACCGCACCCCUUUGUUCUGUGUUGCCAGCGUGCUUUUUCGGGGUGACGGGGAACUCACAGGAGACUGCCCGGGGUCAACUCGGAGGAGGGUGGGGGACAACUUCCAGUCCUCCAUGCCCCCUUAGGUCUUGGGCUGCACACGUGCUUAAAAUGACCGGGUACAUUGAGCUGCGAUGCCGUGAGGGGGAACCGAAUCUCAAAUAGCCGGUCUCAGUUUCGGAUUGGGGUCUGCACUUCACCCCUGAAGUCGGUAGUCGUAGUAAUCCAAAAUCAGCACGUGCUGCGUGUAAUAGGUUCCCGGGCCUUGAACACACCGCCCCGUCAGGUCUAUGAAAGUCGGUAACACCGGAGAGCGUGUGGCCCACCCCUUGUGGGCAGAGGAUUCGACGAAAUGGUGGUGACUGGGCGAUUUGGCACCAAGUCAUCACACAGGUUAUCAGAAACCUU